AACGAACGUUAGCGGCGCGCCUAACACAUGCAAGUCGAACGCGACAGGGGCAACUCUGUUGAGUGGCGCACGGGUGAGUAACACGUAGGUAAUCUCCCCCCGAGUGGUGGAUAACCUUCCGAAAGGAGGGCUAAUACAGCAUAAGACCACGGCUUCGAAAGGAGCUGAGGUCAAAGCGGAGGAUCGCAAGACUUCGCGCUUGGGGAUGAGCCUGCGGACCAUCAGGUAGUUGGCGGGGUAACAGCCCACCAAGCCUAAGACGGGUAGCUGGUCUGAGAGGAUGAUCAGCCACACGGGAACUGAGACACGGUCCCGACUCCUACGGGAGGCAGCAGUGGGGAAUCUUGCGCAAUGGACGAAAGUCUGACGCAGCGACGCCGCGUGGGUGAUGAAGGCCUUCGGGUUGUAAAGCCCUGUGGGGAGGGACGAAUAAGUUUCAGCUAAUACCUGAAGCGAUGACGGUACCUCCUUAGCAAGCACCGGCUAACUCUGUGCCAGCAGCCGCCGCCG
rnacentral:rRNA from 1 species